GAAAGAAGGAACCAGAGGCACAUUUGCAGACCUGAAGGGAAGCAUUGUGGCUGGAGUAUCCCGAGGAGCAGGAGAGGGAACGCAGAAAAGCCUGUAUGGGCUCCUGGUGACGGCCGGAGCACUGGCUAGGAGGCCACCGCGAUCGUGCAGGAGAGAGCUGCUGGGGGCUUAGACCCAGGCUGGGAGAAGUGGACUGAUUCUGGAUUCAUCUAGAAGACAGAGAACACAGUAUUUCCUAAUGGAAUGGAAUGGAUGGUGAGAUGCACAUCUGAAUUAAAGAUUCCUUCGGGAUUUGGGGCUUGACAAACUUGAUUGCUCCUAUUUUCUCCUGAAAUAAGAAGUUGAACAUGUGAAGAUAUGAUGAGGUGUUGCUUGGUUGGAGAUAACGGGAAAGAGUCACCUAGAAGAGGGCCAAUCUUUGGACUAAGAAAAUGCAGUACAAUCAUGGUUAACCCUAAGGCCUCUGUAAG